AUGGAUUCCAUCUUGGCGAAUGAAACUUGGGAGAUAACUGAUCGUCCUUAUGGGUGCAAACCUAUAGGAUGCAAAUGGGUAGUCAAGAAGAAGCUUAGGCCUGAUGGUACUAUCGAAAAGUACAAGGCUCGGCUCGUGGCUAAGGGUUAUACCCAAAAGGAAGGUGAAGACUUCUUUGAGACUUACUCAACUGUGGCUCGACUGACCACUAUUCGAGUUAUACUUUCACUAGCUGCCUCACAUGGUCUUCUCGUUCAUCAAAUGGAUGUUAAGACUGCUUUCCUAAAUGGAGAGUUGGAUGAGGAAAUUUAUAUGGAACAACCAGAUGGGUUUGUAAUAGAUGGUCAGGAAGGGAAAGUGUGCAAGUUGCUGAAGUCUUUGUAUGGACUCAAGCAAGCACCCAAACAGUGGCAUGAGAAGUUGGAAAGAACUUUAACAGCUGCAGGCUUUGUUGUGAACGAAGCUGACAAAUGUGUGUACUAUCUCCAUGGUGGGGGAUGA
rnacentral:rRNA from 1 species